AGUGAACGCUGGCGGUAGGCCUAACACAUGCAAGUCGAACGGCAGCACAGUAAGAGCUUGCUCUUACGGGUGGCGAGUGGCGGACGGGUGAGGAAUACAUCGGAAGCUACUUUUUCGUGGGGGAUAACGUAGGGAAACUUACGCUAAUACCGCAUACGACGUACGGGUGAAAGCAGUGGAUCUUCGGACCUUACGCGAUUGAAUGAGCCGAUGUCGGAUUAGCUAGUUGGCGGGGUAAAGGCCCACCAAGGCGACGAUCCGUAGCUGGUCUGAGAGGAUGAUCAGCCACACUGGAACUGAGACACGGUCCAGACUCCUACGGGAGGCAGCAGUGGGGAAUAUUGGACAAUGGGCGCAAGCCUGAUCCAGCCAUACCGCGUGGGUGAAGAAGGCCUUCGGGUUGUAAAGCCCUUUUGUUGGGAAAGAAAAGCAGCAGGUUAAUACCCCGCUGUUCUGACGGUACCCAAAGAAUAAGCACCGGCUAACUUCGUG
rnacentral:rRNA from 1 species